rnacentral:rRNA from 1 species
AGUCGAGCGGUAAGGCCCUUCGGGGUACACGAGCGGCGAACGGGUGAGUAACACGUGGGUGAUCUGCCUCGCACUCUGGGAUAAGCCUGGGAAACUGGGUCUAAUACCGGAUAUGACCUUACAUCGCAUGGUGUUUGGUGGAAAGAUUUAUCGGUGCGAGAUGGGCCCGCGGCCUAUCAGCUUGUUGGUGGGGUAAUGGCCUACCAAGGCGACGACGGGUAGCCGGCCUGAGAGGGCGACCGGCCACACUGGGACUGAGACACGGCCCAGACUCCUACGGGAGGCAGCAGUGGGGAAUAUUGCACAAUGGGCGAAAGCCUGAUGCAGCGACGCCGCGUGAGGGAUGACGGCCUUCGGGUUGUAAACCUCUUUCGACAGGGACGAAGCGCAAGUGACGGUACCUGUAGAAGAAGCACCGGCCAACUACGUGCCAGCAGCCGCGGUAAUACGUAGGGUGCGAGCGUUGUCCGGAAUUACUGGGCGUAAAGAGCUUGUAGGCGGCUUGUCGCGUCGAUCGUGAAAACUUGGGGCUCAACCCCAAGCUUGCGGUCGAUACGGGCAGGCUUGAGUACUUCAGGGGAGACUGGAAUUCCUGGUGUAGCGGUGAAAUGCGCAGAUAUCAGGAGGAACACCGGUGGCGAAGGCGGGUCUCUGGGAAGUAACUGACGCUGAGAAGCGAAAGCGUGGGUAGCGAACAGGAUUAGAUACCCUGGUAGUCCACGCCGUAAACGGUGGGUACUAGGUGUGGGUUUCCUUCCACGGGAUCCGUGCCGUAGCUAACGCAUUAAGUACCCCGCCUGGGGAGUACGGCCGCAAGGCUAAAACUCAAAGGAAUUGACGGGGGCCCGCACAAGCGGCGGAGCAUGUGGAUUAAUUCGAUGCAACGCGAAGAACCUUACCUGGGUUUGACAUACACCGGAAACCUGCAGAGAUGUAGGCCCCCUUGUGGUCGGUGUACAGGUGGUGCAUGGCUGUCGUCAGCUCGUGUCGUGAGAUGUUGGGUUAAGUCCCGCAACGAGCGCAACCCUUAUCUUAUGUUGCCAGCGCGUAAUGGCGGGGACUCGUGAGAGACUGCCGGGGUCAACUCGGAGGAAGGUGGGGACGACGUCAAGUCAUCAUGCCCCUUAUGUCCAGGGCUUCACACAUGCUACAAUGGCCGGUACAGAGGGCUGCGAUACCGUGAGGUGGAGCGAAUCCCUUAAAGCCGGUCUCAGUUCGGAUCGGGGUCUGCAACUCGACCCCGUGAAGUUGGAGUCGCUAGUAAUCGCAGAUCAGCAACGCUGCGGUGAAUACGUUCCCGGGCCUUGUACACACCGCCCGUCACGUCAUGAAAGUCGGUAACACCCGAAGCC